rnacentral:misc_RNA from 1 species
AAGUCGUAACAAGGUUUCCGUAGGUGAACCUGCGGAAGGAUCAUUAGCGAAGUUCGGAAUGCCGGUUUGGUGCUGCAGCUGCCCAGCGAUGGGAUGUGCUCGUCCGGGCCGGUGUCCCUUCUCUAUUCCACCCCACUGUGAACCAAGCGUGCGAGCAGAAGAGAGAUCGGAAGCUCGCAUGCACACUUUAACAUACCCCUUAUGAAGUAUCUGAAUGUACCUUGCGUUAACUCGCACAAAUACAACUUUCAACAACGGAUCUCUUGGCUCUC